CCUCUCUGUGGUUGGGCGCCAAUGUCGCCAUCAGUGACGAAGGCAGCACGUGGGCUGACGGAGCCUCGUUCACUUACGUCCACUCGACUUCAGGUACCCCCGAUGGAAAUUGUCUUUCCUUCCUCACUGGCAACGGCAACUGGCACUACGACUCGUGCAACAAGAAGAGAGGUUACGUCUGCAAGAAAAGAGGAAAUGUAAAGGCUACGCCGGCUCCUGAGUCCAACAAGUGUGCUCCCGGGUGGCUCGAGCACGACUCCAGCUGCUACAAGAAGGAGGUGGUG